rnacentral:rRNA from 1 species
GAUUCUGGCGUCAGGAUGAACGCUGGCGGCGUGCAUAACACAUCAAGUCGAACGAAGCACUUGGCGGAACUUCGGGGGAAGCUGAUUGACUUAGUGGCGGACGGGUGAGUAACGCGUGAGCAACCUUCCUGCUUGUGAGGGAUAACACAGGGAAACUUGUGCUAAUACCGCAUGACGCAUGGACAUCGCAUGGUGACCAUGCCAAAGACAAGUUGCAGGCAGAUGGGCUCGCGUCUGAUUAGAUAGUAGGUGAGGUAACGGCCCACCUAGUCGACGAUCAGUAGCCGGACUGAGAGGUUGAACGGCCACAUUGGAACUGAGAUACGGUCCAGACUCCUACGGGAGGCAGCAGUGGGGAAUAUUGGGCAAUGGGCGAAAGCCUGAACCCCCAGCGACGCCGCGUGAGGGAAGAAGGUCUUCGGAUUGUAAACCUCUUUCAGCAAGGAAGAAGAAAGUGACGGUACUUGCAGAAGAAGCCACGGCUAACUACGUGCCAGCCGCCGC